UAAUUCUUGGACUCUAGCUAGGAUAAACUGAGUCCUAAUUCUGACAAGGACCUAAAGUGCUGGAAUAUUAAUUUCUAAUUGACUUAUUGUAAACAACAAAACUUAAUAGCAUUACUUAGACAAAGCUCAAACUAACCAACUAAUUUAUCAACUAACAAUCAAGUACUCUUUAACAAGCCUGAUGUACAACUCAAUUUUGAUUUUGUAACAUUUCUCUAUCCUUAAAAAGAGUCCUUGUCCUCAAGGAAGGAAUUGAGGAAACCUGGUCUUCAAGGUUGCGUAAUCUUCCCAUGUUACUUGUUCAACAAGAAUGCCUUGCCACUGAAUGAGCACCUGAGCUACAGCUUUGUUCCCUUUCUUUAUCAUUCUCCUUUCCAAAAUCUUUUCUGGUUCCACACAAAAUGGACUAGCUAUAUCAAUCACUGUGGGAUGAUUGAAGGAACUAGGUACCUCAUUACAUGGUUUGAGUUAAAAAAACAUGAAAUAAAGGAUGCAGAGCUACAUGAUCAGGUCAGGAUAGUUUAUAGGCCACAGUUACCACCUUCUACAACACUUGGUAAGGGCCAUAGUACUUAGCGAAUAGCUUGAUGAAAGGCUGGUCUGAGAGAGAUAAUUACCUAUAAAGUUGGAUCCUUAAGUAAACCCUAUCUCCUACUUGAAAUUGUCUAUCAAUCCUAUCUUUGUUGGUUUAAUUCCCCAUUAUUGGUCGAGCUCGAGCUAUAUGAAACUUUAGUAGUUGAGUCUUAAACUCUUUAGUAACCAGGCUCCUAUCUACUUCUCAAUCCAUAGACUCCCAGGAAGAUAAGGCAAAUGCACAGGGGGUUUUUGUCCAUACAAAUCUUCAUAGGGACUUUCCUAGAUGGAAGAAUAGAAUGUUAUAAUGUACCACAGCUCUGCUAGAGGUAAGUACGCCACCCAAUCAUGUUGAAUAUCUGAGCAAUAGCACCUUAAGUAUUUCUCUAAUAUUUUACUAACCACCUUAGUUUAACUAUCUGACUGAGGGUGGUAUGUUGUGGAUGUUCUUAGAGUAGCUCCUUGCAUAGUAAAUAGCUCCUGCCAAAGCCUGCUAACAAAUAUCGUGUUCUUGUCACUUACUAUAUUUUCUAGCAUCCCAUGCAAUUUGAAAAUCUAAUCCAUGAAUACUUGAGCUACUCCAGCUAUAAUAUAAGGGUGGGGAGGUGAAGUGACUGCACUAAGUGAACCUAUCAACUACUACCAUAAUUGUGGUCUUUUAUCUUAACUUUGGCAACCCUUUAAUAAAAUCUAAGUUAAUGCUAGCCCAAGCAGAUGAGGGUAUUAUAGAGGUUGAAUCAAUCCUAGUGAUGCUACAUAUCAAAUUUACUCCUCUGAAAAGUAGCACACUGUUUGACAUACAUCACUUCAUCCUCCUUCAUACCCUUCUAGUAAAAUAGAGCAACUAUUCUCCUGUGAGUGUUAUCCAUGCCCGAGUGACCAGAUGUUGCAGAGUUAUGUCAAUUUUGAUUAAUUUCCUUCCUCAAUUGGAGGUCCUUUCCUACAACCAACUUGCCAUGCUUUCUUAGCUAUUGGUGAAUGAAAGUGUAGCCCUUAAUUGACUCUCUUUGAUCGCUGAUCUUGUUUACCAAGCUAGUUAAGUCUGGAUCCUUAUCCGAGCUAUCUUUCAUCCUCUAAAAUAAGGUAGAAUCUACUAGUGCUAUUGCUAAUAUAAAGAGCUCAGUGGAGGGCAUUCUUGACAAGGCAUCUGCUACCUUAUUUUUUCUUUCCUUUUUAUAUUCUAUCAUAAAGUCAUAUUGUAUAAGUUUGGCCACCCAUUUUAUUUGAAACCCUAUAUGCAACUUCUGAUCCAAAAGGUAUUUAAGGGCCUUCUGAUCAGUCUUCACCACAAAGUGUCUUUCCAUCAAAUAUUGGUUCCACUUGGUGAUAGCCAUCACUAAAGUUAGUAUCUCUUUAUCAUACACAGAUAGAGUCAUAUGUCUUCCUAAUAAUCCUUUACUCACAAAAGCUAUAGGAUGCCCUUGCAUCAGCACAACUCCAAUACCUAAGUUACAUGCUUGUUUGGUAAUACUAGCACUGGGGCAGUAGUUAAUGCAACCUUCAAACUGUCAAAUGCAUUUGAGGCUUUGCUGGACCAUUUGAACCCUUCAUUUUUAGGAAGUCAAUCAAUGGUUUUCUAAUGAUUUCGUAUAACCUGAUGAACCUUCUGUACUAACAAAGAGCCCCAGAAAACCCCUGAGUUCCUUGACAUAUUUGGAAAUUGGCCACCUCUAUACUGUAUCUAUCUUUCUGUGAUCAUUUGAAACUCUUUCUACUAAUAUAAAAUGACCAAAGUAUUAAUUUUACUAGCUCCAAAAGUGCACUUCCCCUUUAUAGCAUACAACUAAUGUUUCUCAAGUAGCUCAAAAGUGAUCCUCAAGUGUAGUAAAUAUUUUUCCAAGCUACUACUAAACACUAAAAUAUCAUCAAAGAAAACUAGUAUAAACUUCCUCAUAUAUGCCUUAAACAUAUGGUUCAUUAAACUUUGGAAACUGGAAGAAGCAUUAGUGAGGCCAAAUAGCGUGAGCAUGUACUCAUAAUACCCUGCAUGAGUCUUGAAAGUUGUUUUCUGAAUAUCUUCAUCUGUCAUUCUUAUUUGGUGAUAACCUGAUCUAAGAUCUAUUUUAGAGUAAAUCUUUGAACCACCCAACUCAUCCAAUGACUCCUCAAUAAUGGGAAUAAGAAAAUUUUCCUUAAUAGUAACCUUGUUGAGAACUCUAUAAUCUACACAAUGCCUCCAUGGCCCAUCUUUUUUGCCUACAAGCACCAUUGGAGAUGCAUAUGGAUUGCAACUAGGUUGAAUGAUCCCCUGAUUAAGUUUACUGAACCAACUUAUCUAUCACAUCAUUCUGUUGUGAGGAAUAUUUGUAUGGUCUGGAGUUGAUUGGAUUAGCAUUUUGAUACAAAGGUAUCCUAUGAUCAAAAUGGCCUCUUGUAGGAGGUAGUCCAAGAGGUUCUGAAAACACCUUGUCAAAUUGCUUAGUGAGAUCCAAAAUCAAGGGAUGGUCCCCUUGUUCUUCACCUUUUCUCUUCGCUUUAGUCUUGUAAGACCCCGUAAAAUGCUAAAGCUUAAUACAGUCCUUUAAGAGUGUCAAGGGGGUCCUAGACUUAGAAAAUUUUAGCUACAUUCCAGACUUAGCUAUAUUUUGGCCUUCAAAAUUUGACAAAUUUAUGUUGCCAUCUUAAUGUACUUUAAUGGUCCGUAAUUUUAUUGAUUCAUGAUCAGGAAAGUCAAAAGGUGUUUCCGGACAAGUUUCAGAUUCUUUGGAAACUCAUUUAGAUCAAGAUUGGAAGUCCAAAAUAGUGGACCAAUGCAAUCUUGGUGCGUCGCGUCGCCAAUCGCGUUGGUUACCUGUUGUGCAGACUACCAAAGCCAAAACAACUGAGGGUUGACACGUUCAUGGCGCACCGCAUCGGGUAUAGCGCCGCAGCCCUCAACACGUCGUGUCACUCAUAGCGUCAGUGCCCAGUUAUUUAGUCAUUAAAUGUUUGCAUUUUUAAGGGCAAUUGGGUAAUUUUCCCAACCCUAUAUAAGGCUUAAACACUGGAUUAAGCCUCAUUUACACCAAAAUACACCUUUUUCUCUCAAUAUUCUCCCAAGAACACAUUAGGGUUUUUAAUUAGGGAUCCAAGUCCAAGAAAAUUUCUUUGUGAAUCAUCAAGAAUCUUCCAUCUAAGGUAUACAUAGUGUUCAUUCAUGGACUCAUUUCGUCUAUGAAGCCCAAGAAUCAAGUUUUAAAUUACAAAUUGUGAUAUUCAUUCUAUGAAUUGAAUUGAAUUAUGUUCAUGUGUUGUUGUUGUAUGAAUUCCAAGAUGGAACCUUUAUUAUGUCUUUAUGAAAUUAGCUAAUAUGUGGACUGAAAUCAUGAAAUUGGGUUGAAUUGCGAAGUAAGGUUGUAUUAAAUUCAUGCUCAUGCCUAAGCCUUAAAUCAUACAAUCUAAGUGUUUGAUAAAAUACCUAGGAAAAUAGAAAUUAUGCUUGAUAGUUAAAUUGUGACCCAAGUUAUGAAUGUAUGCGUUCCCCUAUAUUUAAAAUAAUUUUCAUGAGGAUUAUUUUGUAAUACAAUUGCGUGAUGAUAUAAUUAUGAUAUUAAAAUGAUAAAGUUAUGACAUGAUCAUGUGCAUUCUAAGCUAUAUACAAGAUUAUGAUAACCAUGUGCUUCAUGAAAUAUCCCUACUGUCAUAGUACGAAUUGUUGAAGUUGGCCAUGUAUUCACGAAAGUCAUGCUUUGUCAGUUUUCCUUCUAUCGAGUCCUGGGGUUACUUGUAUCCAAAAAAUAUAUUUGUGUACCUAAAGCCAGUAUCAUGUUUCACGAUAUUCUUAGUCAAGCCAUGAUCCAUAGAAAUCAGUCAGACAUGUGACUCAAGAAAUCUCAGUAAAUUCAGAAAUCUCAGUAGUAUUUUGCCAGUCAACGAAACUCUAAAAAAUCAGUCUAGUCUAGUUUAGUUAAUUAUGUUCAGUAUCUAUUUAGAUGGGAGUAGGAAUUAGCACCGAGUGAACCCAUGGAUGGGAACUCACCUUUUAUAUGAGGGUGUGAUUCUUAGAAGCAAUCCUUGUGUUCCUGAACUACGUAGCCAGCGUAGGUUGAGAUACCAUAGCCUGUUAUAUGAGGGUGGAUGUGAUGGAUUAACCUGUUAUAUGAGGGUUUCCAUCGUUCUCACUAGAUUUACCUAUUAUAUGAGGGUUGCUCACAAAUUUUCCUUACUAGUGGUGCGGUAUUGACACUCUUCCAAUUGGGGUUACAGAUUGGACCCUAACUCAGCUAUAUUGUGAUUAUUUAGGGCAUGUCAGUUAGAUAACUACUUUCCAUAGUUUCAGUUAUAGAAUUAGGACUUCAGGUACAAUCAUUCAGCCUCAGUAAUAGAACUCAGAUAGUUCUACAGAAUUCAGGACUAUCAGAUACAGUCAACUCAGAAUAGUACGAAACUCAGCUAGUUCCAUCAGAACAUAGACUGUCAGAUACAGUCGCUCAGUAUCAGUUAUAUCAGUUAUACUAGUUUUAUUAGUUAUAUCAGUUAUCAAUAACUCAUGAUACCAGUAAUCAAUUUCAGGACUGUCAAAUAUAGUCAAUCAGACCAGUUCUUCAUAAUCAGAACUAUUAGAAACAAUCAUUCCUCUAUCAGUAAUAUAUCAUCAGUUCCCUAGUAUUCAGUAGACUCAGUUAUCAGUAUCAGUAAACCCAGAUAUUAGUAAAUAAGUACUCAAAACUUAGUACCCAGUGUCAUUAUGGUGUCAAUUACAGUUAAUUAUUCAUGCAUGUAUUCUCACGUUUAUGUUAUAUAGUCAUUUAGUAUUGUUAUUUUUAUUGAUUCAUGGUCAGGAAGGUCAAAAGUUAUUUUCGGAUAAGUUUUGGAUUUUUUAGAAACUCAUUUAGAUCAAGAUUGAAAGUCCAAAAUAGUGGACCAACACGAUCUUGGCGAGCCACGUCGCCAAUCGCAUUGGUCACCAGUUGUACAGACUGCCAAAACCAAAAUAACUGAGGCUUGACGCGUUCAUGGAGCGCCGUGUCGGGUCUAGCAUCGCAACCCUCGAUGCGUCGCAUCACUUAUAGCAUCUGUGUUCAGUUAUUUAGUCAUUAAAUGUCCGCCUUUUUAAGGGAAAAAGGGUAAUUUUCCCAACCCUAUAUAAGGCUUAAACACGGAAUUAAGCCUCAUUUACACCAAAAUACACCCUUUUCUCUCAAAAUCCUCUCAAGAACACAUUAGAGUUUUCAAUUGGGGAUUCAAGUACAAGCAAAUUUAUUUGUGAAUCAUCAAGAAUCUUUCAUGUAAGGUAUGCAUAGUGUUCAUUCAUGGACUCUUUUCAUCUAUGAAUCCCAAGAAUCAAGUUUUAAAUUACGAAUUAUGAUAUUCAUUCUAUGAAUUGAAUUAUGUUCAUGUGUUGUUGUUGUAUGAAUUCCAAGAUGGAACCUUUAUUAUGUCUUUGUGAAAUUACGCUAAUAUGUGGACUAAAAUUAUGAAAUUGGAUUGAAUUGUGGAGGUUGUAUUGAAUUCAUGAUCAUGCCUAAGCCUUAAAUCAUGCAAUCUAAGUGUUUAAAAAAAUGCCUAGGAAAAUAAAAAUUAUGCUUGAUAGUUAAAUUGUGACCCAAUUUAUGAAUGUACGUAUUCCCUUAUGUUUGAAAUAAUUUCCAUGAGGAUUGUUUUGUAAUACAAUUGCGUGAUGAUAUAAUUAUGAUAUUAAAAUGAUGAAGUUAUAACAUGAUCAUGUGUAUUCUAAGCUAUAUACAAGAUUAUGAUAACCAUGUGCUUCAUGAAAUAUCCCCUACUGUUGUAGUAUAAAGUGUUGAUGUUGGCCAUGUAUUCACGAAAGUCAUGCUUUGUCAGUUUUCCUUCUAUCGAGUCCUGGGGGUACUUGUACCCAAAAAAUAUAUCUGUGUACCUUGAGCCAGUGUCAUGUUUCACGAUAUCUUCAGUUAAGCCAUGAUCCAUAGAACUCAGGCAGCUAUGUGACGCAGGAAAUCUUAGUAAAUUCAGAAAUCUCAGUAGUAUUCCGUCAGUUAAUGGAACUCCAAGAAAUCAGUCUAGUCCAGUUCAGUUAAUUAUGUUUAGUGUCUAUUCAGAUGGGAGUAGGAAUUAGCACCGAGUGAACCCAAGGAUGGGAACUCACUUGUUACAUGAGGGUGUGAUUCUUAGAAGCAAUCCUUGUGUUCCUGAACUACGUAGCCAGCGUAGGUUGAGAUACCAUAGCCUGUUAUAUGAGGGUGGA
rnacentral:lncRNA from 1 species